CGAGGUCUCGAGCGUUAGGCGGAAUCACUGGGCUUAAAGCGUGUGUAGGUGGAUCGUUAAGUACCUUGUGAAACCCCACGGCUUAACCGUGGAACUGCUUGGUAUACUGGCGGUCUUGAGCCAGCUAGGGGCUACCGGAACAAAUGGUGGAGCGGUGAAAUGCGUAGAUAUCAUUUGGAACGCCAAUGGUGAAAACAGGUAGCUGGGGCUGUGCUGACACUGAGACACGAAAGCCAGGGGAGCAAACGGGAUUAGAUACCCCGGUAGUCCUGGCCGUAAACGAUGUCGACUAGAUCGUAGUUCCUUCAACGGUAUUACGGUCGAAGCAAAAGUGCUAAGUCGACCGCCUGGGAAGUACGGUCGCAAGGCUA
rnacentral:rRNA from 1 species